GGGCUAGUGGCGCAAUGGAUAACGCGUCUGACUACGAAUCAGGAGAUCCCAGGUUCGACUCCUGGCUAGCUCG
rnacentral:tRNA from 1 species